rnacentral:lncRNA from 1 species
GGAGCUUAGCAGGCGGAAGUGGGUCACAGUGUGGGGGGUAGUGAGGGGGCGCAGUUAUAGCUCAGCUCCGCUUCCUGCCCCAUCUCUCUAAACAGGUCAUCGAGAACUAGUUCUCUCUUAAUGAAGCUGAUUUGGGGGCUUCAGUAUGCUCAACGCAAACCAACCCUGAUCAUCUCUAGGAGCUGAGCUGUUUUGCUGCUGAGAGACACGAGCAGUCUCUACCCGGGAGCAUUUUUUUCUCCUGUUUCCGAGCUACCUUCCUGCACUUGGCUGCUCACGGGAAUAGCUCAUGCCUCGGGUACCAGCUCUGGUGUGUAAUCAGUUGCAAAUGUUUGGGGGUGGAUGGCUGACGGAUGAGGGACCUUUAUCUCCUCUCCCAUUUCUUACUGUUAGCAAACUGUAGAAAUGAAAUCUCACGUGAGCCAGCCUCCUGCCCUGCUCCAUCCUGCCCUCAUCAGCCCUUUAAAAAUGAUUAAAACAGCAGCCAAGAAGGAUGGUUGUCAGCUGCGAGAACAGUAAGGACAGCCUAGCUCGGGCUGACUCACCCACCGACAGUCCGUCUCAUCUCAUCUCCAAGGAGGAGAAAUCCACCUUGCUUUCUUUAGUGUUUCGGUUUGCUUGCUGGUUUGUUUCCUGGGGUGUUGGGGAUUGAACCCAGGGCCUCACACACACACUUCACUCACAGCAGAUGGUCUGCUGCUGAGCUGUGUCUCUGGCCCUAUGUCCCCAGUUACGGCCCUACAGCCUCAAGCAUCUGUGGUCUUCCAGUUAACCUCCUGCUAAGGUGUUCAGAGUGAGCUCAGAAAACUGCCAUCAGGACCCCCUGCCCUCUAAACAGCACCGUCACACUCUGAUGACAGUUGUGGUGUCUCCAGCCUAUGUCAGGAGCCCUGUACCAACAAUUCACUCAGUGAAGGAGCUCACCAGCAGAAGGCCAGAAAUGCACAGGGAGAGUGGCAGGCAGAGGCUGGCACUGAGGGCGAGGGUGGGCUCUGGAUGAAGCCUGACUGAGAAGCUUGGACUCACAGGCUCUUCUUUCCACCAACAGAGGCAUCCAGAUGAGGCAAACCAGGCCACAGAGUCUCUGGGUUCCCGUAUGCAAGACCACCAUAACAUGGCCCUGUGCUCUGGGUGGUGCAGACAGAAAUGAGUGGCUCCAGGAAUCUUCUAACAGGAAGUUAGGGUCUCGAGCCAGCAGGGUUGUUCCUCAGGGACUCUGGGAAUAACAGCCUUGUGUGAGAGUGAGCAAGCAGAAGGAGCUGCCCUCCUGGCCUCAUUGCGCUUCCUCUGGGACCUGUGACAGAGAAGCCUUGGUAUCUAUGGGAAGCGUCCUGCGGAUGGGUGUGUUGUCUUGUAUGAUCUGUAUGUUCUCUUGCAGUGGUUGUAUGUCUGCCAUGGACUGUGAGGCCCAGCAUGGACUCUGUACCCCAGGUGUCUUAGUCAGGGUUUCUGUUCCUGCACAAAUAUCAUGACCAAGAAGCAAGUUGGGGA